rnacentral:tRNA from 1 species
GGGCCCGUAGCUCAGUCUGGUUAGAGAGCCAUCUGAAGGUGUCGUGGGUUCAAAUCCCUCCGGGCCCA